AUUGAACGCUGGCGGCAUGCCUUACACAUGCAAGUCGAACGAGUGGCGCACGGGUGAGUAAUACAUCGGAACGUGUCCUAUCGUGGGGGAUAACUGCUCGAAAGAUUAGCUAAUACCGCAUACGAUUGGAUCGGCCGAUGCCGGAUUAGCUAGUUGGUGGGGUAAAGGCUCACCUAGGCGACGAGCCGUAGCUGGUCUGAGAGGACGACCAGCCAAACUGGGACUGAGACACGGCCCAGACUCCUACGGGAGGCAGCAGUGGGGAAUAUUGGACAAUGGGGGCAACCCUGAUCCAGCCAUGCCGCGUGUAGGAUGAAGGUCUUCGGAUUGUAAACUACUUUUAGCAGGGAAGCGGUACCUGCAGAAGAAGCACCGGCUAACUACGUGCCAGCAGCCGCGGUAAUAC
rnacentral:rRNA from 1 species